rnacentral:tRNA from 1 species
UAAGGGUUUUUGYAGUCAAAAAC